UCUGGCGUGUAUUCCGGAGUGGCAACACCUGUUCCCAUCCCGAACACAGCAGUUAAGCACUCCAGGGCCGAUGAUAGUUAUCAUUAGAUUGCGAAAGUAGGUCCACGCCAGAA
rnacentral:rRNA from 1 species